rnacentral:lncRNA from 1 species
AUAAUCUUCACUCAGAACCAAAUGGGGCAAGAAAGUAUUUGGAAAGAAGCAAUCUUUUAGAAGAGGUAUGUCACUUUAAUAUUACUUUAACUUUUCAAGAUUCUUUUUCAAUUGUUCCUGCAAUUUUCAGGUAUAUAUAUGUUGAUUAGUUGUUUUGAUAUGCAUUUAAUUUUCUUUUACCCUUUUGGGUUUGAAAUAAUUUCUAUUUGGGCAUCUAUUGUUUGAGGUAUUUAAAACUUUUGAUUAAGGUUCACAUAUAAAGUUGUGAUUGUCAAAGUUUUGAUCUUGAGAUUUGCGAAUUGCAGGGACCAAAUGGGUAAAAAGAAGAUAAUUGAUUUUUCCCUUUCUUUGUGAAACUCGAUUAUGGGUUUCUGAUGUUGAAGUGGAAUGAUUAAAAAUUUUCAAAUCAAUUUUUUCUUUUAAUUUUGUUUUCUAUUUUUUAAUUCUAUGUGUGGAUAUGCUAACGCGCCACUGAAAUCAAAUAAGGGGGUAGCACUUAAAAGAUGAGAUAUCGAAAACAUUAAUUUUAUUACUUUGUUGUCAUAUCAUGGUAAGGCAAACAGUAGUAUUGUACUAAACGAAAUAUUAGUUGUACUGCCAGUUCCUAUAACCAGUUCCUAUAACCACGUUUGUAUACUUUCUUUUUUAGAUACACAUAUUUAACUUUUUAUUCACUGUGUGAGGACAGUUGAUAACCA